CCUACGGGUGGCAGCAGUGAGGAAUAUUGGUCAAUGGGCGGAAGCCUGAACCAGCCAAGUCGCGUGAGGGAAUAAGGCCCUACGGGUCGUAAACCUCUUUUGCCGGGGAGCAAGGGCGGGGACGUGUCCCGUCCCGGACAGUACCCGGAGACAAAGCAUCGGCUAACACCGUGCCAGCAGCCGCGGUAAUACGGAGGAUGCGAGCGUUAUCCGGAUUUAUUGGGUUUAAAGGGUGCGUGGGCGGGCUUUUAAGUCAGCGGUAAAAAUUCGGGGCUCAACCCGGUCCGGCCGUUGAAACUGGGGGCCUUGAGUGGGCGAGAAGAAGGCGGAAUGCGUGGUGUAGCGGUGAAAUGCAUAGAUAUCACGCAGAACCCCGAUUGCGAAGGCAGCCUUCCGGAGCCCUACUGACGCUGAGGCACGAAAGUGCGGGGAUCGAACAGGAUUAGAUACCCCAGUAGUC
rnacentral:rRNA from 1 species